rnacentral:lncRNA from 1 species
GAGAGUAGGCCUCCGAAACCACGCGUUGCUGCGACGUUUGCACAGACGGGCGGGCGAUCAGGUUUUUGGGGAGCGCAAGGCGCGACUACUCACUGUUCGUCAACAUCUACUUCAUCUUCACCAACAUGUCGAACACUGGAGACAAGGAGAAGGAGACUCCCGUCAACACCAACGGAGGCAAUACUGCCUCAAACUCCAGCGGAGGACCAUUCUUGGGGUAUAACCUUAUUACAUUAUUUCAAUUAGAAGUUUUACUGUUAAUGUUCAUCGCAAUGUCAACAUUGUGUCAUUAUGUGAUUGUUGAUGCUUAUUCAACGUUAAGCAUGCUCAUGUUGAUUACAUUCACCACUAUCACUGGAUCAAAUCCUAUUGUAAAUAUCAUGUUUAUUAUCUUGUUAUUUUGGAUUAAAAUAUGCCGAAUUAUGACCAAAUUUCCAACAAACUUAGCACAUACAACAUAAUCCUUCAUGGACUUUGCAAAAACAAACUCACUGAUGAUGCACUUCGAAUGUUUCAGAACCUAUGUUUGAUGGAUUUGAAGCUUGAGGCUAGGACUUUCAACAUUAUGAUUGAUGCAUUGCUUAAAGUUGGCAGAAAUGAUGAAGCCAAGGAUUUGUUUGUUGCUUUCUCGUCUAACGGUUUAGUGCCGAAUUAUUGGACGUACAGAUUGAUGGCUGAAAAUAUUAUAGGACAGGGGUUGCUAGAAGAAUUGGAUCAACUCUUUCUUUCAAUGGAGGACAAUGGCUGUACUGUUGACUCUGGCAUGCUAAAUUUCAUUGUUAGGGAACUGUUGCAGAGAGGUGAGAUAACCAGGGCUGGCACUUACCUUUCCAUGAUUGAUGAGAAGCACUUUUCCCUCGAAGCAUCCACUGCUUCCUUGUUUAUAGAUCUUUUGUCUGGGGGAAAAUAUCAAGAAUAUCAUAUAUUUCUCCCUGAAAAAUACAAGUCCUUUAUAGAAUCUUUGAGCUGCUGAAGCAUUUUGCAGCUUUGAAAUUCUGUGUUGGAAUUCUUUUCUCCUACAGUCCGAUUAGAGGAGGGAUCUUCUCUGUAUGUGUAAAUAGCGAGGUAUGUAUGUCACCUCUCCGAAUUAUUUUGACUGUGGUUCCUGGACUGUAAACAAGCUAUUAUCUUCUGGUGUUGAUGCCAGAAAAAACACAAAAGUUUGUCGUUAUCUCUACUAACGGAUCAUAAAGGGGUUUGUAACUGGAGUUUCAAACUUAAGGUAUCUAGGCAGUAGGUAUAUAUUGAUCCUACAUCUUAUGAUCUUAAGAUGAUAUCCUUCUCAUUAUCCUCUGCUGAAACUUUAGCUUGAACCGUCAUCUACACCACAAUUUGAGCCCCUUAGCACAGAGCACAACGAGCAAUAGCUUGCCCUUACGUUCAUUAUUUAGCAUGCACUACUACUAACUACCCAAUAAUCAAUACAUCGGUUAUUAAACUGUUUGUACAGUUUAAUAAUGUCAUUUUAUCACGUUAACAUAUGUUUCAUUCAACACCACACCGGUUUUGGCACAGUUGCAAACUUGCAAUAACAUUUUUACUACUUCUCCGCCCCAUAAUAUAACAAUCUCGUUCCAUACUAUAUUGCUAUAUUACGGGACGGAUGAAGUACUUCUUUCCUUCCAAAAUAUAAGAAUCUAGUACUAGAUUAGAUAUUAUUUGGAUUCACGAAUUUGAUUAGGCUAUCUAGAUUUGUAGUCGUAUGUAAUGUCUAAUUCGGUAAUAGGUUAUUACCUCUUUGGAUGGAGGGAGUAGUUUUUAUUUCGUACUCCCUCUGUUUCAUAUUAUAAGUUGUUUUGACUUUUUUCUUAGUCAAAUUUUAUUGAGUUUGACUAAAUUUAUAGAAAAAAAAUUAGCAACAUUUAAGCACCACAUUAGUUUCAUUAAAUGUAGCAUGGAAUAUAUUUUUAUAAUAUGUUUGUUUUUUUAUUAAAAUGCUACUAUAUUUUUCUAUAAAUGUAGCCAAAUUUAAAGAAGUUUGAUUACGAAAAAAAAUCAAAAUGACAUAUAAUAUGAAACUGAGGAUGUAGCAGACUAUAGCAAAUUUAAACUAUGCUUUUAUUUUAGAGCAUCACCAAAAGAGAUAGCCUAAAUCUUAUCUUAACUAAUUAAAAUAUUCAUAAUUUUCCUUUCGUCACAUUAAAUUUUCGUCCGUAAAUCCGAUUGAAAUCCAACUAGACAAUCCAAAAAAUAGAGAAAAAGAACAGAAAAAAUAAUAAAAAGCACACAAAUCUUAUCUCAAUCCCGCGGGAAGCUGCCGAUGCCGCCGAAUCCGCUCGAGCGCCGCCGCCGCCGCUCACGGGGAACGAUGUCGCUGCUAUCGCACGUGGUAUGGGAGGGCGCCGCCGCCGCUGCUUGGGAGAUAGGAUAUGGAGAGAGAAGGAAAUGUGAGGGAGGGUUAGGUUUUUCCCCAUUCGUAUCUUCAGCGACACGGAGGCGAUCCAAGCUGUCCAUCAGAUCAGACGGCUCAGAACGCCUCCAUCUUCAGGCCGCGCAUGCUUGAUGGGCCGAGGGAAGGCCGGAGGGUCGAACAAACGUAGUCAGAGGAGGAGUUGGAGGAGGUAAAGUAGAAUUUAUUUGCGGGCUGAGAUAGUAAAUGGACUGAAAAUGGCCCAUAGAGAAAUUGGGAAUUUUAUUUAAAUAAAUGUUGAAAAGGUGUUUAUAUUAUCAAAAUUAGAAAUUAAGCUCCGAAAAUUUUAAAAAAUAUUCAAAGAGCAUUAUUAAUCAUGAUUAAUUUAAUAAAAAUUAAAUCCAACCAUAUCAUAUUAUUUCACGGCGCGCAGUAGGAAAAUGCGCAGCUGUUGUCGCUUACGGUGGGAGAGAAGGGACAUUGUUUAUUUUCAGAACUAUCUUUUAUAACUCCCAUGGAACUUUAAAAUAAAUAUAAUCAUUAUUAUAGCAUUAGUUUUUUUCUGUCUUUUUUUUCCCCAAGAGCGCCGCGCAGAAGAGAUCGAUCGCGAUCUCCCUGCCCCGACGUCGCCGGCCGAUCUCUCAUUCUCUCCACGCCCUGCUCGUCGCCGAUCUCCUACACCAUCCCUGCCAUCUCCUCCUUCCCCUCCCCUCUAUCCUCCACUGGUGCCGCCCACCUCUCCGUAUAAGACAAACUGCGUUGCGGCGUUGGUUUCCGCCGGCGCUGCUGCUGCACCUGUCAGCUAGGGCGGGCAUGGCGCGCCGCGCCGCUUCCCGCGCUGUUGGCGCCCUUCGCUCGGACGGCUCGAUCCAAGGGCGAGGAGGCCGCGCGGGGGGCAGUGGCGCCGAGGACGCACGCCACGUGUUCGACGAAUUGCUCCGGCGUGGCAGGGGCGCCUCGAUCUACGGCUUGAACCGCGCCCUCGCCGACGUCGCGCGUCACAGCCCCGCGGCCGCCGUGUCCCGCUACAACCGCAUGGCCCGAGCUGGCGCCGACGAGGUAACUCCCGACUUGUGCACCUACGGCAUUCUCAUCGGUUGCUGCUGCCGCGCGGGCCGCUUGGACCUCGGUUUCGCGGCCUUGGGCAAUGUCAUUAAGAAGGGAUUUAGAGUGGAAGCCAUCACCUUCACUCCUCUGCUCAAGGGCCUCUGUGCCGACAAGAGGACGAGCGACGCAAUGGACAUAGUGCUCCGCAGAAUGACCGAGCUCGGUUGCAUACCAAAUGUCUUCUCCUACAAUAAUCUUCUCAACGGGCUGUGUGAUGAGAACAGAAGCCAAGAAGCUCUCGAGUUGCUGCACAUGAUGGCUGAUGAUCGAGGAGGAGGUAGCCCACCUGAUGUGGUGUCGUAUACCACUGUCAUCAAUGGCUUCUUCAAAGAGGGGGAUUCAGACAAAGCUUACAGUACAUACCAUGAAAUGCUGGACCGGGGGAUUUUACCUGAUGUUGUGACCUACAGCUCUAUUAUUGCUGCGUUAUGCAAGGGUCAAGCUAUGGACAAGCCAUGGAGGUACUUACCACGAUGGUUAAGAAUGGUGUCAUGCCUGAUUGCAUGACAUAUAAUAGUUAUUUCUUGAAAUGUUGGAUCGAGGCAUUUGUCUGGACACUAUUUUCUUUAAUUCAAUAAUUGACAGUCAUUGCAAAGAAGGGAGGGUUAUAGAAUCUGAAAAACUCUUUGACCUGAUGGUACGUAUUGGUGUGAAGCCUGAUAUCAUUACAUACAGUACACUCAUCGAUGGAUAUUGCUUGGCAGGUAAGAUGGAUGAAGCAAUGAAGUUACUUUCUGGCAUGGUCUCAGUUGGGUUGAAACCUAAUACUGUUACUUAUAGCACUUUGAUUAAUGGCUACUGCAAAAUUAGUAGGAUGGAAGACGCGUUAGUUCUUUUUAAGGAGAUGGAGAGCAGUGGUGUUAGUCCUGAUAUUAUUACGUAUAACAUAAUUCUGCAAGGUUUAUUUCAAACCAGAAGAACUGCUGCUGCAAAAGAACUCUAUGUCAGGAUUACCGAAAGUGGAACGCAGAUUGAACUUAGCACAUACAACAUAAUCCUUCAUGGACUUUGCAAAAACAAACUCACUGAUGAUGCACUUCAGAUGUUUCAGAACCUAUGUUUGAUGGAUUUGAAGCUUGAGGCUAGGACUUUCAACAUUAUGAUUGAUGCAUUGCUUAAAGUUGGCAGAAAUGAUGAAGCCAAGGAUUUGUUU